GACGAACGCUGGCGGCGUGCUUAACACAUGCAAGUCGAACGGAAAGGCCCUGCUUUUGUGGGGUGCUCGAGUGGCGAACGGGUGAGUAACACGUGAGUAACCUGCCCUUGACUUUGGGAUAACUUCAGGAAACUGGGGCUAAUACCGGAUAGGAGCUCCUGCUGCAUGGUGGGGGUUGGAAAGUUUCGGCGGUUGGGGAUGGACUCGCGGCUUAUCAGCUUGUUGGUGGGGUAGUGGCUUACCAAGGCUUUGACGGGUAGCCGGCCUGAGAGGGUGACCGGCCACAUUGGGACUGAGAUACGGCCCAGACUCCUACGGGAGGCAGCAGUGGGGAAUAUUGCACAAUGGGCGGAAGCUUGAUGCAGCAACGCCGCGUGCAGGAUGACGGCCAUCGGGUUGUAAACCGCUUUCGCCUGUGACGAAGCGUGAGUGACGGUAAUGGGUAAAGAAGCACCGGCUAACUACGUG
rnacentral:rRNA from 1 species